rnacentral:rRNA from 1 species
GACAGAGGUGCCAAGCGUUAGGCGGAAUCACUGGGCUUAAAGCGUGUGUAGGCGGGUGGCUAAGUACCUUGUGAAAUCCCACGGCUCAACCGUGGAACUGCUGGGUAUACUGGGUGCCUUGGGUCAUCUAGGGGCUGCCGGAACAAAUGGUGGAGCGGUGAAAUGCGUAGAUAUCAGUUGGAACGCCAACGGCGAAAGCAGGCAGCUGGGGAUGCACCGACGCUGAGACACGAAAGCCAGGGGAGCGAACGGG